AUUGAACGCUGGCGGAAUGCUUUACACAUGCAAGUCGAACGGCGGCACGGACUUCGGUCUGGUGGCGAGUGGCGAACGGGUGAGUAAUGUAUCGGAACGUGCCCAGUCGUUGGGGAUAACGUAGUGAAAAUUACGCUAAUACCGCAUACGAUCUAUGGAUGAAAGCGGGGGAUCGCAAGACCUCGCGCGAUUGGAGCGGCCGAUAUCAGAUUAGGUAGUUGGUGGGGUAAAGGCCCACCAAGCCAACGAUCUGUAGCUGGUCUGAGAGGACGACCAGCCACACUGGAACUGAGACACGGUCCAGACUCCUACGGGAGGCAGCAGUGGGGAAUUUUGGACAAUGGGCGAAAGCCUGAUCCAGCCAUUCCGCGUGCAGGAUGAAGGCCCUCGGGUUGUAAACUGCUUUUGUACAGAACGAAAAGGUUUCUACUAAUACUAGGAGCUCAUGACGGUACUGUAAGAAUAAGCACCGGCUAACUACGUGCCAGCCGCCGCAGUAA
rnacentral:rRNA from 1 species